rnacentral:rRNA from 1 species
UACGAAGGGGGCUAGCGUUGCUCGGAAUCACUGGGCGUAAAGGGCGUGUAGGCGGUCUGUUAAGUCUGGCGUGAAAGCUCUCGGCUAAACCGGGAGAGGUCGUUGGAUACUGGCAGACUAGAGGACGGUAGAGGCGUGUGGAAUUCCGGGUGUAGUGGUGAAAUGCGUAGAGAUCCGGAGGAACACCAGUGGCGAAGGCGACACGCUGGGCCGUACCUGACGCUAAAGCGCGACAGCAUGGGGAGCAAACGGG